rnacentral:rRNA from 1 species
AACAGGAUUAGAUACCCUGGUAGUCCACGCCGUAAACGAUGUCGACUAGCCGUUGGGCUCCUUGAGAGCUUUGUGGCGCAGUUAACGCGAUAAGUCGACCGCCUGGGGAGUACGGCCGCAAGGUUAAAACUCAAAUGAAUUGACGGGGGCCCGCACAAGCGGUGGAGCAUGUGGUUUAAUUCGAUGCAACGCGAAGAACCUUACCUACCCUUGACAUCGUGCGAACUUUCCAGAGAUGGAUUGGUGCCUUCGGGAGCGCACAGACAGGUGCUGCAUGGCUGUCGUCAGCUCGUGUUGUGAAAUGUUGGGUUAAGUCCCGUAACGAGCGCAACUCUUGUCCUUAUUUGCCAGCGAGUCAUGUCGGGAACUCUAAGGAGACUGCCGGUGACAAACCGGAGGAAGGUGGGGACGACGUCAAGUCAUCAUGGCCCUUACGGGUAGGGCUACACACGUGCUACAAUGGCCGGUACAAAGGGUUGCGAAGCCGCGAGGUGGAGCUAAUCCCGAAAAGCUGGUCUCAGUCCGGAUCGGAGUCUGCAACUCGACUCCGUGAAGUCGGAAUCGCUAGUAAUCGUGAAUCAGAAUGUCACGGUGAAUACGUUCCCGGGCCUUGUACACACCGCCCGUCACACCAUGGGAGUGGACUGCACCAGAAGUGGUUAGCCUAACUUCGGAGGGCGAUCACCACGGUGUGGUUCAUGACUGGGGUGAAGUCGUAACAAGGUAACC